rnacentral:rRNA from 2 species
AGAGUUUGAUCCUGGCUCAGGACGAACGCUGGCGGCGUGCCUAAUACAUGCAAGUCGAACGAACUCUGGUGUUGAUUGGUGCUUGCAUCAUGAUUUACAUUUGAGUGAGUGGCGAACUGGUGAGUAACACGUGGGAAACCUGCCCAGAAGCGGGGGAUAACACCUGGAAACAGAUGCUAAUACCGCAUAACAACUUGGACCGCAUGGUCCGAGUUUGAAAGAUGGCUUCGGCUAUCACUUUUGGAUGGUCCCGCGGCGUAUUAGCUAGAUGGUGAGGUAACGGCUCACCAUGGCAAUGAUACGUAGCCGACCUGAGAGGGUAAUCGGCCACAUUGGGACUGAGACACGGCCCAAACUCCUACGGGAGGCAGCAGUAGGGAAUCUUCCACAAUGGACGAAAGUCUGAUGGAGCAACGCCGCGUGAGUGAAGAAGGGUUUCGGCUCGUAAAACUCUGUUGUUAAAGAAGAACAUAUCUGAGAGUAACUGUUCAGGUAUUGACGGUAUUUAACCAGAAAGCCACGGCUAACUACGUGCCAGCAGCCGCGGUAAUACGUAGGUGGCAAGCGUUGUCCGGAUUUAUUGGGCGUAAAGCGAGCGCAGGCGGUUUUUUAAGUCUGAUGUGAAAGCCUUCGGCUCAACCGAAGAAGUGCAUCGGAAACUGGGGAACUUGAGUGCAGAAGAGGACAGUGGAACUCCAUGUGUAGCGGUGAAAUGCGUAGAUAUAUGGAAGAACACCAGUGGCGAAGGCGGCUGUCUGGUCUGUAACUGACGCUGAGGCUCGAAAGUAUGGGUAGCAAACAGGAUUAGAUACCCUGGUAGUCCAUACCGUAAACGAUGAAUGCUAAGUGUUGGAGGGUUUCCGCCCUUCAGUGCUGCAGCUAACGCAUUAAGCAUUCCGCCUGGGGAGUACGGCCGCAAGGCUGAAACUCAAAGGAAUUGACGGGGGCCCGCACAAGCGGUGGAGCAUGUGGUUUAAUUCGAAGCUACGCGAAGAACCUUACCAGGUCUUGACAUACUAUGCAAAUCUAAGAGAUUAGACGUUCCCUUCGGGGACAUGGAUACAGGUGGUGCAUGGUUGUCGUCAGCUCGUGUCGUGAGAUGUUGGGUUAAGUCCCGCAACGAGCGCAACCCUUAUUAUCAGUUGCCAGCAUUAAGUUGGGCACUCUGGUGAGACUGCCGGUGACAAACCGGAGGAAGGUGGGGAUGACGUCAAAUCAUCAUGCCCCUUAUGACCUGGGCUACACACGUGCUACAAUGGAUGGUACAACGAGUUGCGAACUCGCGAGAGUAAGCUAAUCUCUUAAAGCCAUUCUCAGUUCGGAUUGUAGGCUGCAACUCGCCUACAUGAAGUCGGAAUCGCUAGUAAUCGCGGAUCAGCAUGCCGCGGUGAAUACGUUCCCGGGCCUUGUACACACCGCCCGUCACACCAUGAGAGUUUGUAACACCCAAAGUCGGUGGGGUAACCUUUUAGGAACCAGCCGCCUAAGGUGGGACAGAUGAUUAGGGUGAAGUCGUAACAAGGUAGCCGUAG